UACGUAGGUGGCAAGCGUUGUUCGGAAUUACUGGGCGUAAAGGGCGCGUAGGCUGUGCUGUAAGUCAGGCGUGAAAGGCCCGGGCUCAACCUGGGAACUGCGUUUGAUACUGCGGCGCUGGAAUGCAGGAGAGGAUGGCGGAAUUCCCAGUGUAGAGGUGAAAUUCGUAGAUAUUGGGAAGAACACCGGUGGCGAAGGCGGCCAUCUGGCCUGCAAUUGACGCUGAGGCGCGAAAGCGUGGGGAGCAAACAGG
rnacentral:rRNA from 1 species